UACGUAGGGUGCGAGCGUUGUCCGGAUUUAUUGGGCGUAAAGAGCUUGUAGGCGGCUCGUCGCGUCGGGUGUGAAAACUUGCGGCUUAACCGCAAGCCUGCACCCGAUACGGGCGGGCUAGAGUUCGGCAGGGGAGACUGGAAUUCCUGGUGUAGCGGUGGAAUGCGCAGAUAUCAUGAGGAAGACCAGUGGCGAAGGCGGGUCUCUGGACAGUUCCUGACACUGAGGCACGAAGGCCAGGGGAGCAAACGGG
rnacentral:rRNA from 1 species